rnacentral:tRNA from 1 species
GCGGGAAUAGCUCAGUGGUAGAGCACAACCUUGCCAAGGGUGGGGUCGCGAGUUCGAGCCUCGUUUCCCGCUCCA